UACGAAGGGGGCUAGCGUUGCUCGGAAUCACUGGGCGUAAAGCGCACGUAGGCGGAUCUUUAAGUCAGGGGUGAAAUCCCAAGGCUCAACCUUGGAACUGCCUUUGAUACUGGGGAUCUCGAGUCCGGAAGAGGUUGGUGGAACUGCGAGUGAGAGGUGAAAUUCGUAGAUAUUCGCAAGAACACCAGUGGCGAAGGCGGCCAACUGG
rnacentral:rRNA from 1 species